GGACCGGUGUCAUUUCAAUUGUUGGUGGUACUGAUGGUAAAGAUUGCUGACUUUGGUUGAAUGAAAAUUGGAUCCGCCCUCAUGAAAAGUACAAGGAAAAACCAGCUUAUAUUGAACCUGAGGAUGAAGUGUAGACGCCAGUCGGUGACAGAAGAGAAUGUAGCUUCAAGAAUGAGGCAAGCCCACCCACCCCUCGUGUUGUCGCUGAGCAUUGCCAGGGGCCACAACGCCUGUGUAUCACAUUGCCUCAGCUUCCCUACUUUGCAUGAGACCUCAAUGAUGCAAUUCUCUGGUUCUGGCUACUGAAGUUCUGAGAUAAUGCUUUGUUCUUUAAAAUGUUAGCAUUUGCUAUCAAAUGCACCAUGUUUG
rnacentral:misc_RNA from 1 species